AUUGAACGCUGGCGGCAGGCCUAACACAUGCAAGUCGAACGAGUGGCGGACGGGUGAGUAAUGUCUGGGAAACUGCCCGAUGGAGGGGGAUAACUAAUGGAAACGGUAGCUAAUACCGCAUACCAUCGGAUGUGCCCAGAUGGGAGUAGCUAGUAGGCGGGGUAAAGGCUCACCUAGGCGACGAUCUCUAGCUGGUCUGAGAGGAUGACCAGCCACACUGGAACUGAGACACGGCCCAGACUCCUACGGGAGGCAGCAGUGGGGAAGAUUGGGCAAUGGGGGAAACCCUGAUGCAGCCAUGCCGCGUGUAUGAAGAAGGCCUUAGGGUUGUAAAGUACUUUAAGCGGGGAGGCGUUACCCGCAGAAGAAGCACCGGCUAACUCCGUGCCAGCCGCCGCGGUAAUUC
rnacentral:rRNA from 1 species